AGCCGCGGUAAUUCCAGCUCCAUUGGCGUAUAUUAAAGUUGUUGCGGUUAAAAAGCUCGUAGUUGGAUCUGUGUAUCGGACAGUUGGUUCGCCGCUCGCGGCGUCAAACUGACUGGUCCGAACGUCCUGCCGGUGGGCUGCCGGUCUUUGUGUAACUCACAGAGGUCGGUGCCCGUAACUUCCCUCCGCGCUGCUCUUAACCGAGUGGUUCGGUGGGCCGGCACGUUUACUUUGAACAAAUUUGAGUGCUCAAAGCAGGCCGAUUGUUGCCUGAAAAUUGUGUGCAUGGAAUAAUGGAACAGGACCUUGGUUCUAUUUUGUUGGCUUUUCUGAACUCGAGGUAAUGAUUAACAGGGACAGACGGGGGCAUUCGUAUUGCGACGUUAGAGGUGAAAUUCUUGGAUCGUCGCAAGACGAACUGAUGCGAAAGCGUUUGCCAAGAAUGUUUUCGCUAAUCAAGAACGAAAGUUAGAGGUUCGAAGGCGAUCAGAUACCGCCCUAGUUCUAACCAUAAACGAUGCCAGCCAGCGAUACGCCGAAGUUCCUCCGAUGACUCGGCGUGUAGCUUCCGGGAAACCAAAGCUUUUGGGUUCCGGGGGAA
rnacentral:rRNA from 1 species